rnacentral:rRNA from 1 species
GAUCAUGGCUCAGGAUGAACGCUGGCGGCGUGCCUAACACAUGCAAGUCGAACGGAGUAAUUAAGCGGAAGUUUCGGAUGGAAGCAUAGUUACUUAGUGGCGGACGGGUGAGUAACGCGUGGGCAACCUGCCCUGUACCGGGGGAUAACACUUAGAAAUAGGUGCUAAUACCGCAUAAGCGCACAGCUUCGCAUGAAGGUGUGUGAAAAACUCCGGUGGUACAGGAUGGACCCGCGUCUGAUUAGCUAGUUGGUGGGGUAGAGGCCUACCAAGGCGACGAUCAGUAGCCGGCCUGAGAGGGUGACCGGCCACAUUGGGACUGAGACACGGCCCAAACUCCUACGGGAGGCAGCAGUGGGGAAUAUUGCACAAUGGGGGAAACCCUGAUGCAGCGACGCCGCGUGAGUGAAGAAGUAUUUCGGUAUGUAAAGCUCUAUCAGCAGGGAAGAAAAUGACGGUACCUGACUAAGAAGCCCCGGCUAACUACGUGCCAGCCGCCGC